AAACGACUCUUGGCAACGGAUAUCUAGGCUCUUGCAUCGAUGAAGAACGUAGCGAAAUGCGAUACUUGGUGUGAAUUGCAGAAUCCCGUGAAUCAUCGAGUCUUUGAACGCAAGUUGCGUCCGAAGCCUUCGGGCCAAGGGCACGUCUGCCUGGGCGUCAUAA
rnacentral:rRNA from 1 species